rnacentral:lncRNA from 1 species
UGUAUCUUAUUUACACAGACUGGUUCCUAAACACAUUUAUUGUAGUUGAAAUACAUUAAAGGACCACUAUAGUGCCAGGAAAACAUACUCAGGGCACUAUAGUGCCCUGAGGGUGCCCCCACCCUUUAGGGUCCCCCUCCCGCCGGGCUCUGGGGGGAGGAAGGGGUUAAACUCACCUCUUUUUCCAGCGCCGGGCAGGGAGCUCUCCUCCUUCUCUCCUCCUCUUCGGCUGAAUGCGCAUGCGUGGCAGGAGCUGCGCGCACAUUCAGGCAGUCCAUAGGAAAGCAUUCAAAAUGCUUUUCUAUGGACGCUGGCAUCUUCUCACUGUGAAAAUCACAGUGAGAAGUGCGGAAGCCCUCUAGCGGGUGUCAAUAAGACAGCCACUAGAGGCUGGAUUAACCCAUUUAUAAACUGUUUAUAGAAAAAAGGGUUAAACCUAGCUAGACCAGGCACCCAGACCACCUCAUUAAGCUGAAGGCGUCUGGGUGCCUAUAGUGGUCCUUUAAAGCGAGUAUUAUUGAUGUGGAGCUCUGUUAUUCACUCAGACACAUCAACAAUAUGCAGCUCCUAGCAAAAAAAGGAUAUUUAUAUAGAAAAUAAGGACAGUGGGAUUUGGGAACUAAAUAUGGAUUCAGGGGAGGAGGUAGCAGUGUGUCGGGGCUGUUUAAAGCUAGUGCUUUAUCUGCAACCGACAGCUGAUUUGAGAUUUAGUGGGCUUAAUUCCAAAGUCUCUUCUUGAAAGUCAUGAGACUGUUCUUUAUUAUUUCAAUGACAUUCUAUUAAAUAUUGUACAUGUUCUGUUACUUGAUUGUUUUUAUGUAUGUAUGUGCAUUACUUCAUUGGAACUCUGGUGAUCACUGUGAACAACCACAUUCACAACAUGGUACGGCUGCAGUCAGAUUCAUGAGCAGUUCCACUCACACUGGGGUAAUGUCUGAGGGACAUUUGUUACCCUUUGUGUAUGUGGAAAACAUUGUUAUAUCAAACCAGCUAUUGUUUUUUUUUGUGUGACAAUUUUUAUUGUUUAUUUUCAGGGUACAGAAGAGAAGGGGAGGGUUAUAGGGGGAAAAUAAUUCACACAGUGAUCCAGAACAUUCUAUAGACAUGUUUUAUACCCCAUGUUUAGCAGAUGGGUUUCAGAUUUUUAUGUAAGGGGUAUAGCAAUAUACACAUUCCCAGUUCCAGUUUAGCGUAUAACCAUUAGGGUUAACAUGUAAGGUUGGCUGUUGGGGACAUUUUGGGCUGGUUGUGAGCAGUGUGGUGGUGCGUGUAGGCCUUUUUCAGUGCCCCUGAGGGUAUCUUAGUGAUAACAGGUAUGCUGGGGUGAUGUUGACUGGAUACUUGAGGUGCAAGUGUAGUAUUGUAAUGGGGGGAGGAGAGAAAAGGGGGGGGAGGUGUGGUUCCUCAUCUUGCUGAUGGUGUCUUGUUACAGUGCCAAUGUACACUUGUCUACAGUAUCCAUGUGUCAGUGCAUAUUGGCAAACCAAACUAGCUAGUUUUAAGGCUUUCUUUUCAAUAGCAAUGCAUGUUACUGCUUUUAUAAUAACACAUUGACAUUAUACUAUCAUUAACAGCGGCACCAUUUAUAAAUAAGAUGCUAGGUUAAGGUUGGGAUUCUAAAGAAGGUUAGGGCAAAGUUAUGAUUAGGGGAAGAGGUGAAGAGGCAGAGAGGGGGCCUAUAACAAAAGGGCUAGGGGGACUUGACUUAUAUUGGGGGAGUUUGUGCUGUAUAUUAGGGGAGUUUGUGCUGUAUAUUGGGGGGUCUGUGCUUUAUAUUGGGCUUAGAUUUUUCCCAUUCAGAGUAGGUUUGAAUAAAAGGUUGGAGAUUGACUGUAUUUAAAAGGAGUCCUGGUCUUGGGGUUCCCAGUUGCCUCCCCAGGAAAUUACCCUUGAAUUUUUUUCUUGUAUAUAUGUUUUUUUUUUUUUUUACGUUUGCCUUAUCUGGGGUGAAAUAUGAAUUAUAUAUGGCACAACAUGGAUUGGUAGUAAAAUAUUGAAUUAUGUGUAUAUGAAAUUAUGGGGUGAAAUGACAUGAACUUGGAAGACGAAUGCAAAUUUUGACUUUUUCUCCCAUGACUCUGACUGAUAUGUUGCAGUGUAUUUCUUAUUUAUCAUUCUACUGACUGCCAUAGCUAGUGUCAUCCAGGGCCACCCAGGUAGUUAGACACAGAAAGUGAUUUAA